rnacentral:rRNA from 1 species
GGUAAUGGCCCACCAAGCCGAUGAUCGGUACGGGUUGUGAGAGCAAGGGCCCGGAGAUGGAACCUGAGACAAGGUUCCAGACCCUACGGGGUGCAGCAGGCGCGAAACCUCCGCAAUGUACGAAAGUGCGACGGGGGGAUCCCAAGUGUUAUGCUUUUUUGUAUGACUUUUCAUUAGUGUAAAAAGCUUUUAGAAUAAGAGCUGGGCAAGACCGGUGCCAGCCGCCGCGGUAACACCGGCAGCUCGAGUGGUAGCUGUUUUUAUUGGGCCUAAAGCGUUCGUAGCCGGUUUGAUAAGUCUUUGGUGAAAGCUUGUAGCUUAACUAUAAGAAUUGCUGGAGAUACUAUUAGACUUGAAGUCGGGAGAGGUUAGAGGUACUACCGGGGUAGGGGUGAAAUCCUAUAAUCCUGGGAGGACCACCUGUGGCGAAGGCGUCUAACUGGAACGAUCUUGACGGUGAGUAACGAAAGCCAGGGGCGCGAACCGGAUUAGAUACCCGGGUAGUCCUGGCCGUAACGAUGUGGACUUGGUGUUGGAAUGGCUUUGAGUUGUUCCGGUGCCGAAGGGAAGCUGUUAAGUCCACCGCCCGGGAAGUACGUCGCAAGACUGAAACUUAA